GGGAAGAAGAGAGAGAUUUGACAUACAGAAAACUAAAGAUGCAGAGACUGGAGUGAUGUGGUCCCAACUCAUGGAAUUCCAGCAGCCACCAAAAACUGGAAGAAAUAAGAUUGAACUUUGCUUGGAGCCUCUGAAAGGAGCAUUGCCUCACUGACUCCCUGAUUUGGACUUCUGGCAUCUUGAACUGUAACAGAAUAUAUUCCUGUUGUUUUAAGCCACUAAGAGAAUGUUUAUUUGUUAAAGCAUCCAUAGGAAAUGAAUUUAAGUAUGUUUUUUGUGUUUAUCAGUGUUUUUAAUAUAUUUUCUUGGGUGAAGUAUGAUGAGGGCAGAUACAGAUCAAGAGAAAGAAACUGGAGUUUAAGAGCUUGUUAUGCUCAUGGAUCCUAGGGAGAAACAAUAUACCAUACAAAACUCCUCAGGGGAAGUACUAGGAUGGAACACAAAAAUAUCAGGCAGAAGGAUAGAGGGAAAUAUGGGCAAGCACUUUCAUUAUGGUUUCUAUAGGACAGAAUGGGAAAGCAAGGGGUAGGGAGUGGUUAGGACUAGCUCCUUUGAAUAAUUUUAUUGACCUUUAGGUAAUGGGAGUUGAACCUAAUUGUUUGGUACCUAGAACCUGGGAAAUCAGACUGCCACACAGAGUGAGAAUUCUAUAAGGGAGGUACUUGGUCUUUGAACUUCAUCAGUUGUUCUACAAGGGAAACUUACCUAAAUGCUGAAUCAAUGUGACACUUAUUUUUAAAAAAUUAUAUUGUAGUAGUAUUAUCAUUUAUAUGGCUGUGAUGUAUACUGUUUUAUGAACUUCUCAUCAUUUGUUUAUCUGUUUACGUGUUGAUGGACAUUUGGGUUGUUUUUAUCUUUGGCUCUCAUAAAUGAAGCUACAAUGAAAAAAGCAAGAAAAAGACUUUUCAGAGAAUUAUAUUUUGUAUCUCUUCUUAAUAUCUAGAAAUAAAAUUGUGGGUAUUCAUUUUAAGUGUAUACACUUAAAAAGAUUAUGAAACUCUUUGCCAACAUGAUAGCAAAUACUCCCAUUAGUAAUUUAAGACAUUCAGUUGCUACACAUCAUUCACAUUACAUUGCCUUUUUUGUUGUUUAUUUUUGUUUUGUUUUUUUGGGUUUUAAUUUUGUCAUUCUAUUGCAAAAUGAUUAUCUUAUUUAGCCUUUAAUUUUUAUGUUCUUAAGAACCAGUAAGGUUGACAAUCUUCCUCCCCUACAUGUUUUAUACUUUUCAUUGUAUGGGUCUUAUUUGUCAUAUUUGUUAUCCAUUAUUUUAUGUUUUAUAUCCUUCCAUAAAGUAUUUUCUUUAAAAAAUCACUUUCCAAAUGAUGCUACUACAUAUAGAAUUUAUCUUCUAUCUUUGAUAAAUUCAUUCAUUAGUUCUAAGAAUUACAUUUUUAAGAUGCAGGGGAUUAGCAAGAAUAGUGGAAUGUGAUGGACAUCAUUAUCCAAAGUACAUGUAUGAAGACACAAAUUCGGUGUCAACCUACUUUAUAUACAAACAGAGACAUGAAAAAUUGUGGUAUAUAUGUAUAAUAAUAAUUGUAAUGCAAAAAAGCACAUGUAUAAAGAUAUGAAUUGGCGUGAACAUACUUUAUAUACAAAGAUAUGAAAAAUUGUGUUCUAUAUGUGUAAUAAGAAUUGUAAUGCAUUCUGCUGU
rnacentral:lncRNA from 1 species